UUCCAUUACCUGAUGAUGCAGUGACAUACAGCACUGUGGUCACCAAGAACAAGACCCAACCAAAUGCAGCAGAACCAGAUGAUGUGGUCUACAGCACAGUGGCCCAACACCAGAGAUAGCAGGGAGUAGCAGCAGAGCAGUGACAGCAUUAAAUCCUUGGUCCCAAAGAACCAGACAAUCUCUUUAUGGGGGAAAAUACUGGAGGAUCUCAGUGUACUAAGGCAUCAGAAGAAAUGUGUCCAGAUUGACAGUAAA